rnacentral:tRNA from 1 species
GGAGAGAUACCCAAGAGGCUGAAGGGGCGGGUUUGCUAAACCUGUAGGGAGCCAAAAGCUCCGCGAGGGUUCGAAUCCCUCUCUCUCCGCCA